rnacentral:rRNA from 1 species
AUGUCGGCGAGGUGGGGAAUGAAUAAUAUUCAUAUACAGAGCUUACACUGGGGGAUCAUUCACACAAUAGCUUUGCCUUCAUGCUUGGAUGGAACACUCCUUAAGGCUGAUAAUCGCAAGGAGAGGUCAGAGGAGAAGAAGCACGUGGUGGACAAGCACACACCGGGGAAGCACCUGACAUGGCAUCACACUUCUGUACACCGUGGCCAUCUGCACAUGAAUAGGCAAGAUUGUGCGCAGCAAGAGGCGUGCCACUAUUUACCUCCAGCUUUGAUCUUACAACUGAACCUGAAUACGAGUACUACUUACUUGGAUGGCUAA